UUAAGCAUAUCAAUAAGCGGAGGAAAAGAAACCAACAGGGAUUGCCUCAGUAACGGCGAGUGAAGCGGCAACAGCUCAAAUUUGAAAUCUGGCUCCUUUCAGGUGUCCGAGUUGUAAUUUGUAGAGGAUGCUUCGGCUUACGCCCCGGUCUAAGUUCCUUGGAACAGGACGUCACAGAGGGUGAGAAUCCCGUUUGUGGCCGGCGGCCUCUGCCAUGUGAAGCUCCUUCGACGAGUCGAGUUGUUUGAGAAUGCAGCUCUAAAUGGGAGGUAUAUUUCUUCUAAAGCUAAAUACCGGCCAGAGACCGAUAGCGCACAAGUAGAGUGAUCGAAAGAUGAAAAGCACUUUGGAAAGAGAGUUAAAAAGUACGUGAAAUUGUUGAAAGGGAAGCGCUUGCGACCAGACUUGCCCGCGGAUGCUCAGCCGGUCCUUCGGCCGGUGCACUCUUCCGCGGUCAGGCCAGCAUCAGUUCGGGCGGUCGGAUAAAGGCCUUGGGAAUGUGGCUCCUCUCGGGGAGUGUUAUAGCCCUUGGUGCAAUACGGCCCGCCU
rnacentral:rRNA from 1 species